CUGGAUCAUCAUCCUCUCCUGAUAACUAUUUUUUCCGUUCUUUUUUGUGCUGCUGCUGGCUAUUAAUAAGUAUGGAGUCUUCAAGGUGUAAGAUUAAGCAACAAUAAGCUAUCCUUUUGGUUUUCAACUUACAGCGUAUUGCUGGAGUUGGAGGACUAAUGCCUGAAGGUUGUUGGAGUCCUUCCUGGAGUUGAGUUCAUAAGGAGGAUUAUAAUUAUGAUCAUAUAUAGGAACAGUCAGCAUUUUGAUGUUUCUUUUCUUCUUUGAAAGAAAAGAGUGAAGCUAUGCCAUUGCAUAGUUGUUUUGUGCUUGUAUACAUUAUCAAUGAAAACUGAACAAAAGUAUACCUGUUGUACCAGAUGAUUGCUGAAGGUGUAUUUAUCCACUCCAGAUGUAGCGUCUGUCCUUGAUAUGAUUGUCUUAGUACAUGCAUAAGACACUGAAAACAAAGGCAUCUUCAUUAGUUGUAUCUCAUGGGAGAACUUCUUCACUAUGUUAUUGAGAUCCAUGCAUGAUAUAACUGGUUGAGAGUUGAGACGUGUAUAUGCAUAUGCAUACAUAUGGUUGCAUAUGCAUACAUAUUCAUCAGCAAUAGGUUUGGUCAUGGAGAUACAAGUCUAUAGCUUUAGUGAAGAGUCAAUGCGGAGAACUAAUACCCAAUUCUAUUUUGAUUUUGCAAAGUUUCCAGAAGAAACACCAGGUCAUAUUUUCAAAUUUCAUCAAAUAUAUCUGAAAAAUAAAUCAAGUUGUUAUUUCAAACAUUUCUGCAAAUGCUGAAACCUAUUUGCAGUAACAAUAUUUAAAAUUAAUAGUAUUGCAUGCAGAGAACUAUAUUCGGUAAGUGUGGCCUAAAUAAAAUAGUUUCCACUAAAUACAUAAGCAAUGCAAACCAUGGUAGUGAUAAAGAAGCUUAAACUAUUAAAUUCACAAAAGUUUUCAAGGAAUACUAAUUUCACAAGCAAGAUCAGAAGCUACCACACGCUGUUAACACAUAGCAGUAACCCUGGAAUGCCAAUCAGAAAUUCAGGAUCCAUCCUAAGUCAAUCAAUGUAAAGCUCGGAGCAGCUUUGUACCUGGAAGUCUAGGGAAGUGUUUUUCACAAAAUAUAGUAGAAGAGCUGCAAUAGCAUUUCCUUUCAUCACAUGGUGAAGAACCACUUUUAUGUAUAUUUCGGCAAAAGAAAUGCAAUGUGGAGUCAUCUUUACUAGAGUCAGAUCUCUCUAGUACCACAGAAGUAAAAUUAAAGUUCAGCAUUUACCUUAUAGAAGUCUUCAUUGUGAAUCUUACUUCAAGCGUGUUCCCUCUGAAUUCUUCAGAAUGCCCAGCAGGUCAAUCGUGGACGUAGCAGGACCUUUGAACCACUUCACCGUCUCCAUGGGAAUAUCAACUACAAAGUAAUUGCAAAUCUACAUUUAGCAACAAAUUUGCUUUAGACCACAUGCAUCUGAAGGAGAUGACUAUCUUUUCCUGUAGAAUUAGAUAAGACUACUUGCAGGCUCUUUACAAGCCUCAUUGUCAUUGUAGUGCUGGAGAAGUUAAGGAAAGGGGAGAAGGAAGUUAGGGUUCAACAGCACAUAGUUAUCCCCUGCUGUUGUUGAUGUUACAUAACAUAAUUCUUGUAUUGAGAUUGUGAUCCUUAAUCUAACAAAGGGAGAAUUUACACCAUUGUUUUCAAUUUCUGUCGGAAGUAUCUUUCAACAGAAGAUAGUGAAGCAUAUGCUUCUGGAAAACAUAUAUAUGAUACACAAAGAUGUGGAUGAUCCUUAGUUCUCAACUAAUCUUUUAUCAGAAUCCAAAGCUGAAAGUUUUGUCUGAUCUAGAUGGCUAAAUAGCUAGCAAUGCAAGCUCAUUGACACUAGAGGACCUCAUGGCUGCAUGAUGAACCUUUCAUUUCUUUUUUAUCUUCCUAAACUUUUCAUUUUACAAUGCCGAUCCCAAGGCACAGAGACAUGUGGCUCCAACGCUGCCUUUAACCCUCUUCUCUAUGACACUUCAAAGGGAUUAAGCUUGUGAGACACAAAAACAAGUUCAGUAAAAGAAUGCACACUACCGGAAGGCCCAAGCUGGCCAGCGAUCGACGCCGUGACAACUUUCUCAUUCUAAUGGAACCCCGCACAAUCUAGCAGCAUUGAGGAUCAUAAAAGAGUGUUAUCCAGAAAAAAACAUAACAAAAGCCGGUUUCGUUUAAAAGAGAAGAAAAGAAGAUCCUGUGGUGCUGUAAGACGUCCCAGAGCUUGUGUGAGAAUCUUUAAAAGACAAACACAGCUACUUGUAGGGCAGGCUUUGAAUCAUUUCACGGAGGAGCUAAAGAGCACAGUCGCCGGAAGCAGAAGGGAAAGACAAAGGAUAAAGACAAAGAGAAAGAUCAGCAAGAAAGGAGACGGCGAACUGUGAGGCCAUGGCGCCGGUUGGUCUCCCUCCAGGCUUUAGAUUUCAUCCAACUGAUGAGGAGCUUGUGAACUACUACCUCAAGAGGAAGGUCCAUGGCCUCAGCAUCGACCUCGACAUAAUCCCAGAGGUAGACCUCUACAAAUGUGAGCCCUGGGAGUUGGCAGGUAAUCUGAAAUCUUAACUUCUCAUCCAUGGAUCUUAUUUUCAUCACUCUUGAUUCAACUUGAGAUGUUUUCUUGUUUCGAUAGAGAAAUCCUUCCUGCCUAGUAAAGACUCUGAGUGGUACUUCUUUGGGCCAAGGGAUAGGAAGUAUCCAAAUGGAUGCCGCACAAACCGCGCAACGAGAGCAGGAUACUGGAAAUCAACAGGGAAAGAUCGGCGGAUCAACUACCAGAGCAGAUCAAUUGGUAUGAAGAAGACACUAGUCUAUUACAAAGGUCGAGCUCCUCAGGGGAUCAGAACCAGUUGGGUGAUGCAUGAGUACCGCAUCGAGGAAAGCGAAUGCGAGAACGCCAUGGGGAAUCAGGUUAUUCAUCCAUCCUCUUCAUCAGCUGUUACUAUUUAGUAUCUGUUAAAUCGUUGUGAGUUGUAUCUGUUGAAGUACUUAGUUAGCUGAGCUGCUGUGGCUGAAUUUCAGGGUAUUAAGCAUAGCUAAUCUUCUCAGAUAGAAGGAUUUGUGUGUAUUUAUGUUAUGCAAUAGUGAUCAGAUAUCAUAAUAUGCAAGAUUUCAGAUAUGUGCUUUGCUAAAACAAAAUUUGCAAUAGAAACAUACAGAAGAAAUAACUAGGGCAUAUUUGCUAGUUCAGGGAACCUACGUUCUUUAUGCAUGGAGUGCAUGAAAAGUUAGGGCUCUUCUCUCUUUUUCCCCCCAUAUCCAUCAGUGAUAGCCAUAAAGUAUUCCUUGCUUCCAUGGACCAUAGCUACUUUACAAAGUACAGUAGAAGGUUUUCUCAGUUCUCUAAUGGGGUCACACAUGGUUCACUUUUCUAGGUGCCCUUGAUAAGACAAAUUUAACAUCCAAUUCUUGGUUCAUGUCGUGAUGAUACGAAAUCAUGCAACAUGAUUGUACAUAGGUUAGGUGCGUCAUCGUUUCACACUUUCAUGGUGAAGAGUAUAAAAAUCUAGGUCAGUUGCAUGUUGAUGCUACCUUAAAGCUUAGACAUCCUUCAGUGUGGCCCAGUGUUGUGUCGGUGGCUUUACCCUUUAUUCUCCCCAUCAACCUCCAACUUUACUGGCUAGUAAAAACCAUAA
rnacentral:lncRNA from 1 species